UUCUUCCGUUCUCCACAUUCAUCUUCUCGUGAAGAAGAAGAAGCGAUGAUUGAAUUCGGGGACCUCAGUCCUCGCAAUGCGCCGAUGACAGGGAUCCGUUCGACUUUUUCAAGGCGUAUUUCUCUACGAUCACAAGACUAUUCGAGAAAAAGCAAGAAGCCAUAGUGACGUGCUCACAAAGUUCACUUGUCAAACUUUGCAACCCUUCAAGGCGAGAAAGGAAUCGUAUAAAGCAACAGCUAUAGCUGGAUUCGUGGGUCUUGGUGAUCCAGUAAGUUGAUAACUGUCAAGACUAAUAGCACAUAAUUUCCUCUGAUAACUUCGAGGCCUGCUUGGCUUUUGAUGAGUGACUAUUACACAUCAAGUUUGUUACCUUCAAGGCGAGGAAGGAAUCAUAAAGAGCUGCAGCUGGCUGGAUUUCGUGGGGUUUGGCGAUCCGGUAUUCAAGGGGAAAAAGUGGCAGGAAUUUUGGACUAUUGCUCUAAUUUUGUGAGUCAAAUCAGAGUCUUACAACACUUGGUGGCUUGAUUUUGGAGGCAAACAACUAUUCUUUGUUGACAAACAUGGUGAAUAUAUUCGAAAAAACCAA